UACGUAGGGGGCAAGCGUUGUCCGGAUUUAUUGGGCGUAAAGGGCUCGUAGGUGGCCAACUAAGUCAGACGUGAAAUCCCUCGGCUUAACCGGGGAACUGCGUCUGAUACUGGAUGGCUUGAGUUUGGGAGAGGGACGCGGAAUUCCAGGUGUAGCGGUGAAAUGCGUAGAUAUCUGGAGGAACACCGGUGGCGAAGGCGGCGUCCUGGACCAACACUGACACUGAGGAGCGAAAGCCAGGGGAGCAAACGGG
rnacentral:rRNA from 1 species